AUGCAGAUCCUGAUGUUGACUUACACUUCUCCAGACUCCCAACAUACUGGGCCGAAAUUGAUGAUAGGACAGAGUUAGCAAGAAGAAUUCGGUUGUAGCUGAACUGGCAGUCCCCCUCAUCCAUGCUCUCAUACAUGAGAUUGAGGACGGAUUUCAUUGUUCGCCAGUCCUGGCUGGAUUUAGGGUAUUUGAACUAAAAGAGGUUCCAAAUACUGUUGCCGAAUUAACAACGUUUGGAGAGGAGGAAAUGAGACGUUUAGCAUCACAUUAUGGCAACACACUUGAAGAUGUAUUCAAGGGACAUAGGACUGUCUCCCAGCCUGUCUUUUCUGAGGAAACAUUCAAGCAACAGUUUGCUGGGUUUAAACACCAGAUGUUUUUAAUGAGGUAUCCUUAUGUUUGUUUUAUGGAGUUUGUUGUUAAAUUAAUCCAGUUUGUUUUAUUCUUACUUACCAACUUCUUGUUAUAUUUUCAUGUUGAUGUUAGUUUUGUAUUUUUUAUUUAGAAAUAAAAUUGUUUCAAUGUUAUCUUUUUAUGAAUUGAUAUUGUUUAUUUUAAUUUUGAAUUUCAGUGCUAAUGAACUAGAUCUCAGAAUGAGAUUAUCAUAUAAAUCAGUCUAAAGUACCAGGACAGUAAGUGUUUUACAAUUAUUUGUAAAAGUUUGCACUGAAAUGGCAGCUCUUCUGGAUUCAAUAUUCAGACAAAGAGCUUCUGAGGAAGAGUUAGCAGACCCACAAUUUUUACUUAAACAGUUCCAGGAUGAUGUUUUGCGUGCCUCUUAUCCUGCCAUGUACCACCUGGUUUUGUUGUCUUGCCUAAUUCCAAGUUCCACAGCAUGUGUGGAAAGGCUGUUUUCUCUUAUGAACACGAUUUGCACACCCCUCAGGAGCUGUCUUAAACAACAGAGUCUGGACAACAUUAUAAGAAUUGUGUCAGAGUCCAGUGGUUCCUUGACUCCAAGGCAGCUGACCAGAGC